rnacentral:lncRNA from 1 species
GUCAUUAUGUAUCCAAUUUCUGCAUUCAUUUCAAUAAAACCCCAAUGAGCUUAUAUUCUAUAUAUCUCAAAUUAAAAAUUCAGACUAGCUUUAGCCUUGUAGAAAGUUUUGAAGGUUGUCUUUUCUUUAUAUUGCCAAAUAAAUAGUUGUAAACCAAUUUUGUUUUAUUGUACUUACAAUACCAAUGAGAAGGUCUCCCCUUUCGGUGUAUGAUUUACUUACUGAUUUUUUUUUUUAAACUUGGUCUUACAGAUUUCCCCAUUUAGUGUGCUUUGUGGUUUCAGAGGUACAGAAUAAUGUUGAUGCUUGAUGAGAUAAAUAAGCCCCAAGAAAAUAUACAUACUCAUUUGGAUCAACCUUAUUUAAUAUGACUCUGUUCAGUGUAUUGGAGUUGGAGUCUUUCCCGAAGGUAAUGCACCAUAGAGUCUUGGCUUCAAUCUCUUACUUCAGGUCUGUAUACACCAGCACAGUAUUCGUUCAUUUGUUCUCCAAAUGUUCAUUGAGUGCUCGUGUACACUAGCCAAGAGUUUGGGUCUACAUGCUUAGAGCAAUGAGCACAGGAGAAAUGGACUGGCUAUACAGGGCUUCACAUCUGGAGGGGAACCCAGGUAGUAAGCAAAUACUUACCUAAAUAAUAAGUAAUCACAGACAGAGUUCAGGCUAUGGAGAUGGGAUGGGGGCUACAAGAUGUGUAACAGGACAAUUCCAUCUGGCCUUGAUGUCAGGGACAACUUCUUUGGGGAAGGGAUAUUUGAGCUGAGAAGUGAAUGCCAAAGUUAAUUAGACCUACAGACUUUGUGAGCAGAAUGUUUCUGAUAGGCUAAGACACCAUGACAGUGUGUCAUUAAGACAUGCAAAUGGAGGUGUCAGAGAAGCAGUCAGAGUUCAGAGGAG